rnacentral:tRNA from 1 species
GCCGAAGUAGCUCAGUUGGGAGAACGUUAGACUGAAGAUCUAAAGGUCCUGAUUCUGGUUCAGUCCCGGGCUUCUUCA